UUCACGGAGAGUUUGAUCCUGGCUCAGAACUAACGCUGGUGGCGUGUCUUAGUCAUGCAAGUCGAACGAGAAAGUACCCUUCGGGGUGCGAGUAAAGUGGCGAACGGGUGAGUAACACGUGGGUAACCUGCCUUUGAGUGGGGAACAACCCCUCUAACGAGGGGCUAAUACCGCAUAAUGCAGCGGCUCCGCAUGGAGACAGUUGUUAAAGGGGCAGCUUCGGUUGUCUCGCUUGAA
rnacentral:rRNA from 1 species